UACGAAGGGGCCUAGCGUUGCUCGGAAUCACUGGGCGUAAAGGGUGCGUAGGCGGUUCUUUAAGUCCGGGGUGAAAUCCUGGAGCUCAACUCCAGAACUGCCUUUGAUACUGAGGAUCUUGAGUUCGGGAGAGGUGAGUGGAACUGCGAGUGUAGAGGUGAAAUUCGUAGAUAUUCGCAAGAACACCAGUGGCGAAGGCGGCUCACUGGCCCGAUACUGACGCUGAGGCACGAAAGCGUGGGGAGCAAACAGG
rnacentral:rRNA from 1 species